rnacentral:lncRNA from 1 species
UUCUUCUUCUUCUAGUCUUAUUCUUCUUAUUUUUUUAUUCUAGUCUUUUUCUUCUUCUUCUUCUUCUUCUUCUUCUUCUAGUCUUCUUCUUCUUCUUCUUCUUCUUCUUCUUCUACUACUACUACUGCUACUUCACCUUGUUCAUCACAUCUUAUUCUUCUUCUUCUCCUUCUUCUUCUUCUUCUUCUUCUUCUUCUUAUCCUUCUUCGUCUU